rnacentral:rRNA from 1 species
UCAAGCUCAAAAGGGCGCAUGAUGGAUGCCUUGGCAUCAGCAGGCGAUGAAGGACGUGAUAAGCUGCGAUAAGCUUCGGGGAGCGGCAAAUACGCUUUGAUCCGGAGAUCUCCGAAUGGGAAAACCCAGCGAGGGUAAUGCCUCGUUGAUGGAGUCCGAAUAAAAUAGGGCUUCAUCGCCAACCGCGGGAAGUGAAACAUCUCAGUACCGCGAGGAAAAGAAGACAACAGUGAUUCCCUGAGUAGUGGCGAGCGAAAGGGGAACAGCCCAAACCAACGCACUUGUGCGUUGGGGUUGCGGGAUCCCGACGUGGGAUCUUCGAUGGAUAGAGGAAGCCGGUGGAAAACGGCGCCAGAGAGGGUGACAGGCCCGUACUCGAAAUCCAGAGAAGCCCUAGGGACAUCCCAAGUAGCACGGGACACGUGAAACCCCGUGUGAAUCCGGUGCGUCCACGCACCAAGGCUAAAUACUGCUGAUGACCGAUAGUGAACUAGUACCGCGAGGGAAAGGUGAAAAGAACCCCUGUUAGGGGAGUGAAAUAGUACCUGAAAUCAUGUGCUUACAUGCUAUGGUAGCCUGCCGCAAGGCGGGUGGCCGUUUGCCUUUUGCAUAAUGAGUCCGCGAGUUAUUGUUAGCAGCAAGGUUAAGGGUGGUCUCCACCUGGAGCCGAAGCGAAAGCGAGUGCGAAACGUGCGUUCAGUUGCUGGCAAUAGACCCGAAGCCGUGUGAGCUAUCCAUGGGCAGGUUGAAGUCGCUGUAACAGGCGAUGGAGGACCGAACUUAUGAGGGCUGAAAACCUCUAGGAUGACCUGUGGAUUGGAGCGAAAGACUUAUCAAACUCGGUGAUAGCUGGUUCUCCUCGAAAUAACUUUAGGGUUAGCCUGCACGAAUGCUCGCCGCGGAGGUAGAGCACUGAAUGGAAUAGGGGCCUUACCGGGUUUCCGACGCCAAUCAAACUCCGAAUACCGCGGCAGUCACGUGUGGAGAUAGACUGUGGGGGAUAAGCUUCAUAGUCAAAAUGGAAACAGCCUAGAUCGCCAGCUAAGGCCCCUAAAACCGGUUCAGUGACUAAGGAUGUACGAUCGCUAAAACAGCUAGGAUGUUGGCUUAGAAGCAGCCAUCAUUUAAAGAGUGCGUAACAGCUCACUAGUCGAGCGAUUGUGCGCCGAAAAUGAUCGGGACUAAACCGGUUGCCGAAGCUGCGGAUUUCCAGGAUCUUCGGAUCCUGGGAGUGGUAGAGGAGCGUUGUAUUUGCAUCGAAGCGCAAGGGUGACCGAACGUGGAGCGGAUACAAGUGAUUAUGCGGACAUGAGUAACGAAUAGCCGGAUGAGAAUUCCGGCCGCCGAAAUCCCAAGAUUUCCUGGGGAAGGUUCGUCCGCCCAGGGUUAGUCGGCCCCUAAGUCCAGGCCAAUUAGGCGUAGGCGAUGGGAAGCAGGUUUAAUAUUCCUGCACCGCCGAUGGGCGAUUAAGACGCGAUGGAGUACUCGGAAAGUUAAAUCAGCCGUCGAUUGGAAGUGACGGUUCAAGCCCGUAGGGGUGUGGCCAGGCAAAUCCGGCCGCGCAACCUGAAAGGCGACGAGACGUGGAGGCUUCGGCCGAAGCGGAUUGGUUGAUACUCUGCCGACAAGAAAAACUUCUAGCGAGCCCAUAGGCGACCGUAUCGUAAACCGACACAGGUGGGAAGGUAGAAUAUACCAAGGCGCGCGAGAGAAACCUCGUUAAGGAACUCGGCAAUCUAGCCCCGUAACUUCGGAAGAAGGGGUCCUCCUGACCGUUCGUGUAACAACAAAGCGGUUUGGAGGCGCAGUGAAAGGGCCCAGGCGACUGUUUAUCAAAAACACAGCACUAUGCCAACUCGCAAGAGGAUGUAUAUGGUGUGACACGUGACCAAUGCUGUAAGGUUAAGGUAAGGGGUUAGCCGCAAGGCGAAGCUUUGAACCGAAGCCCCAGUGAAUGUCGGCCGUAACUAUAACGGUCCUAAGGUAGCGAAAUUCCUUGUCGGGU